rnacentral:rRNA from 1 species
UACGUAGGGCGCAAGCGUUGUCCGGAAUUAUUGGGCGUAAAGAGCUCGUAGGUGGCUUGUCGCGUCUGCCGUGAAAGCCCCCGGCUCAACUGGGGAGGGUCACGCGAUACUGAUCGACUCGAAGGCAGGAGAGGGUAGUGGAAUUCCCGGUGUAGUGGUGAAAUGCGUAGAUAUCGGGAGGAACACCAGUGGCGAAGGCGACUACCUGGCCUGUUCUUGACGCUGAGGCGCGAAAGCUAGGGGAGCAAACGGG